UUUACACAUGCAAGUCGAACGAUGAACCGGUUUCGGCCGGGGAUUAGUGGCGAACGGGUGAGUAACACGUGGGCAAUCUGCCCUGCACUCUGGGACAAGCCCUGGAAACGGGGUCUAAUACCGGAUAUGACCACCGACCGCAUGGUCUGGUGGUGGAAAGCUCCGGCGGUGCAGGAUGAGCCCGCGGCCUAUCAGCUUGUUGGUGGGGUGAUGGCCUACCAAGGCGACGACGGGUAGCCGGCCUGAGAGGGCGACCGGCCACACUGGGACUGAGACACGGCCCAGACUCCUACGGGAGGCAGCAGUGGGGAAUAUUGCACAAUGGGCGAAAGCCUGAUGCAGCGACGCCGCGUGAGGGAUGACGGCCUUCGGGUUGUAAACCUCUUUCAGCAGGGAAGAAGCGAAAGUGACGGUACCUGCAGAAGAAGCGCCGGCUAACUACGUGCCAGCAGCCGCGGUAAUACGUAGGGCGCGAGCGUUGUCCGGAAUUAUUGGGCGUAAAGAGCUCGUAGGCGGCUUGUCACGUCGGAUGUGAAAGCCCGGGGCUUAACCCCGGGUCUGCAUUCGAUACGGGCAGGCUAGAGUUCGGUAGGGGAGAUCGGAAUUCCUGGUGUAGCGGUGAAAUGCGCAGAUAUCAGGAGGAACACCGGUGGCGAAGGCGGAUCUCUGGGCCGAUACUGACGCUGAGGAGCGAAAGCGUGGGGAGCGAACAGGAUUAGAUACCCUGGUAGUCCACGCCGUAAACGUUGGGAACUAGGUGUGGGCGACAUUCCACGUUGUCCGUGCCGCAGCUAACGCAUUAAGUUCCCCGCCUGGGGAGUACGGCCGCAAGGCUAAAACUCAAAGGAAUUGACGGGGGCCCGC
rnacentral:rRNA from 1 species